rnacentral:rRNA from 1 species
CCUACGGGAGGCAGCAGUGGGGAAUCUUGCGCAAUGGGCGAAAGCCUGACGCAGCCAUGCCGCGUGAAUGAUGAAGGUCUUAGGAUUGUAAAAUUCUUUCAGUAGGGACGAUAAUGACGGUACCUACAGAAGAAGCCCCGGCUAACUUCGUGCCAGCAGCCGCGGUAAUACGAAGGGGGCUAGCGUUGCUCGGAAUUACUGGGCGUAAAGGGAGCGUAGGCGGACAUUUAAGUCAGGGGUGAAAUCCCAGAGCUCAACUCUGGAACUGCCUUUGAUACUGGGUGUCUUGAGUGUGAGAGAGGUAUGUGGAACUCCGAGUGUAGAGGUGAAAUUCGUAGAUAUUCGGAAGAACACCAGUGGCGAAGGCGACAUACUGGCUCAUUACUGACGCUGAGGCUCGAAAGCGUGGGGAGCAAACAGGAUUAGAUACCCUGGUAGUCCACGCCGUAAACGAUGAUGUNUAGUGUCGGAGACGUGUCGUUUCGUUGUACGCGAGCUACGACAUAAACUAACUACCGCCGUGGGAGGUACGGUCGCGAAGAAUAAACUAACAANAGAAGUUAGACGGCGUGAGACGUGCCGACGGACGACGACGAGGGAGGUAGG